AACGAACGCUGGCGGCAUGCCUAACACAUGCAAGUCGAACGAGACCUUCGGGUCUAGUGGCGCACGGGUGCGUAACGCGUGGGAACCUGCCCUUAGGUUCGGAAUAACUCCCCGAAAGGGGUGCUAAUACCGGAUAAUGUCUUCGGACCAAAGAUUUAUCGCCUUUGGAUGGGCCCGUGUUGGAUUAGCUAGUUGGUAGGGUAAAAGCCUACCAAGGCGACGAUCCAUAGCUGGUCUGAGAGGAUGAUCAGCCACACUGGGACUGAGACACGGCCCAGACUCCUACGGGAGGCAGCAGUGGGGAAUAUUGGACAAUGGGCGAAAGCCUGAUCCAGCAAUACCGCGUGAGUGAUGAAGGCCUUAGGGUUGUAAAGCUCUUUUACCCGGGAUGAUAAUGACAGUACCGGGAGAAUAAGCUCCGGCUAACUCCGUG
rnacentral:rRNA from 1 species